rnacentral:misc_RNA from 1 species
AAGUCGUAACGAGGUUUCCGUAGGUGAACCUGCGGAAGGAUCAUUGUUUAUGUACGCGGCUUGUUCCGCGGUCGGGGGGCCUCUCCUUCGGGCGGAGGCCCUGUCUGAACCCUCUGUCAUUGUCGCACCUCGCGUUUCCUCGGCGGGCUCGCCCGCCAACGAGGACCCCAAACCAAAACCAUUUGCAGUAUAAGCAGUAAACGUACCACAAACAAAAUUUAAUUAAAA